GCCCCCAUUGUCUAAUGGUUAUGACGUCAGACUUCUACUCUAACGGGACAUGAGAACCGUAGGAAACUAGUAUCUGGAGGUUGCGGGUUCGAGUCCCGCUGGGGGUU
rfam:Gymnopus luxurians FD-317 M1 unplaced genomic scaffold GYMLTscaffold_5, whole genome shotgun sequence.